GAAUUCACUAGUGAUUGGAUCNCAGGCCUAACACAUGCAAGUCGAGCGCCCCGCAAGGGGAGCGGCAGACGGGAGAGUAACACGUGGGAACGUGCCCUUCAGUUCGGAACAACCCAGGGAAACUUGGGCUGAUACCGGAUACGUCCGUAAGGAGAAAGAUUUAUCGCCAAAGGAUCGGCCCGCGUCUGAUUAGCUAGUUGGUGAGGUAACGGCUCACCAAGGCGACGAUCAGUAGCUGGUCUGAGAGGAUGAUCAGCCUCACUGGGACUGAGACACGGCCCAGACUCCUACGGGAGGCAGCAGUGGGGAAUAUUGGACAAUGGGCGCAAGCCUGAUCCAGCCAUGCCGCGUGGGUGAUGAAGGCCUUAGGGUUGUAAAGCCCUUUCGGCGGGGAAGAUAAUGACGGUAUUCUGCAGAAGAAGCCCCGGCUAACUUCGUGCCCGCAU
rnacentral:rRNA from 1 species